GGAGAGUUGGUCCGAGGGGUUAAGGUGACGGACUGUAAAUCCGUUCUCAUUUGAGGUCUCAGGUUCGAAUCCUGAACUCUCCA
rnacentral:tRNA from 1 species